CUCAGCAGGUGACGAUACAGCGCCCUCUGUACUGCGAAGCUGCGUUUUAUUGCCAAAGUCAUUGUGCGACGGGAUAUCAAUGUGGGCAAGAUGGUUGUCCGACAUGUCACUGUCUCCACCCUGUACAUCAAACUAUCCAAGUCGAGCCAUUACGGGAAGUGCCUCACCAGGAGACGAUCUUCAUCACCGGAAACACGGGAACGGAAUGUCACGAAUGUGUACAACAGCCCGCGCCGGUAUAUAUAACGGAGCCUGCCACGGAGUGUCAAUACAACUGUGGAGAAUUACCCCAAUACGUCAUAGAGAGACCGAAACCGAAGCCACAAUAUCAGACCGUAGUAGUACAACAACCGGAAGUAUGUCACGAAUGCGAAACUAACAACUAUCAACCGGUCUAUGUUGCCAAGCCUCAACCUCAGACAGUUGUUGUACAUCUACCAGAAGUAUGUCACGAAUGCGAAACUAACACUUAUAAGCCAGUGCAUAUUG